UCCAGACCUCCAGGAAGAGACGCAUAACGCCAAUAACGAAAAAAAUAAAGAAAGGACGGAAGGGAGACAGAAAAGGAGUGGCCCCGGAACAGACUGCCACCGGCGGGGUUCCCCACGGGCAACUUGUAGGUCAAGAGCUCCUCGAGAGGAACGGCACAUCGCCUGCGGCGAGCGUGCCACUGGGUCGUCCUUGGCACUACUGCCUCAGUUGCUCAGCGUAGCGCGACCUUGACACUGAGCCGGCCAGACGGGAGAGGGCGAAUCAGAGGGGGCAGGAGAGGAGCAGCAGCAGCAGCACGCAAGACGUCGACGCCCGCCAAGGUCAGGUUAGGAAGAAGACGAGGAAAAAGAACGCGAGUCGCGCGGCUCUGAGUGCGGCGGCUGUUGAACCCGGGGCCCGGGCGAGCUUUCGGGGAAUAAGGAGCCACUCGGUUCUCCUCUCGUCUUUCCGGUGGGGCCCCAAAGAAGACAGCCUCACCUCAAUGUGGGACGCGGCAGCAGGCCAACUUUGUGCACGCUCUUGAAGUUAAGCCUACGCCAACUGCUCAAGAUGACUGCACCAUUGCAGUACUGCAAGACUGUAAUAUAUUUUAUCUGCAGAAAUA